GGCAAAUGGGUGAGUAAUACAUAUGCAACUUGCCCGUAGCUGGAGGAUAGCUUCCGGAAACGGAAAUUAAUACUCCAUAAUAUCCUAAUAUCGCAUGUUAUAAGGAUUAAAGUUUCGACGGCUACGGAUGGGCAUAUGUCCCAUUAGCUUGUUGGUGAGGUAACGGCUCACCAAGGCUACGAUGGGUAGGGGGCCUGAGAGGGUGAUCCCCCACACUGGUACUGAGACACGGACCAGACUCCUACGGGAGGCAGCAGUGAGGAAUAUUGGUCAAUGGGCGAAAGCCUGAACCAGCCAUGCCGCGUGCAGGAUGACUGUCCUAUGGAUUGUAAACUGCUUUUCUGCAGGAAGAAACGCUUCUACGUGUAGAGGUUUGACGGUACUGCAGGAAUAAGCAUAGGCUAACUCCGUGCCAGCAGCCGCGGUAAUACGGAGGAUGCAAGCGUUAUCCGGAUUCAUUGGGUUUAAAGGGUGCGUAGGCGGAUUGGUAAGUCAAAGGUGAAAGUCUGUAGCUUAACUAUAGAAGUGCCUUUGAUACUGCUAGUCUUGAGUACAGUUGAGGCGAGUGGAAUGUGUAGUGUAGCGGUGAAAUGCAUAGAUACUACACAGAACACCAAUUGUGAAGACAGCUCGCUAAGCUGCUACUGACGCUCAGGCACGAAAGCGUGGGGAGCGAACAGGAUUAGAUACCCUGGUAGUCCACGCUGUAAACUAUGAUCACUAGCUGUUGGCGAUAAAUUGUCAGUGGCUGAGCGAAAGCGUUAAGUGAUCCACCUGGGGAGUACGAUCGCAAGGUUGAAACUCAAAGGAAUUGACGGGGGCCCGCACAAGCGGUGGAACAUGUGGUUUAAUUCGAUGAUACGCGAGGAACCUUACCUGGGCUUAAAUGUAGAACGACGUCCUGAGAAAUCGGGAUUCCCUUCGGGGCGGACUACAAGGUGCUGCAUGGUUGUCGUCAGCUCGUGCCGUGAGGUAUCGGGUUAAGUCCCAUAACGAGCGCAACCCCUAUUGUUAGUUGCCAGCGGAUAAUGCCGGGGACUCUAACAAAACUGCCCGUGUAAACGGGAGGAAGGUGGGGACGACGUCAAAUCAGCACGGCACUUAUGUCCAGGGCUACACACGUGUUACAAUGGCUGGAACAAAGGGCAGCUAC
rnacentral:rRNA from 1 species